GGAGACUUCGUCAACAUGGCGUUCCGGCCGCUUCCAGUCCGGUAGGACAGAUGAUUCGGCUAUUCUCGUCCAAUUACGGAAGCGCUGCUCAGCAUCCUGGAACUUCUUGUCCAGGAUGGACACCAUCUUCCUCACCACCUUCAUGAUCAUGUAGUUGUUCAGGACACUGCUCAGGUGAACAUGGUGUUGAUGUUUGGAUCAUCUGAAGUUGCAGAGAGAUGCAAGUCAUUCUGGGACUGACCGCCAGA